AAACCCUGAACCCUAAACAACAAGCCAAAAAAAAAAAAACAAUAUUUUCAUGCGAGGGAAUCAAAUUCAACACAUGAAUUACAUUCAUAUUGAGAAAAUCAGUUCAACAGCGACAAAAUCAUUAUCAAUAACAAGGAAAAAAAAACCCAGUAACACAUAAAACACAUGCUAAAAAACAAAGCGAUUAAAAAAUUUAAGGAAAGAGAGAGAAAGGGAGAUGAAUUUACAGGUCAGUGACAGUGGCGAUUGCUUUGCAGGUCGCGAGAUGAGAAGAAAUUGAGUAAGAGGUUUAGGGUUUAGGGUAAUUUGAAAAUUAAAAAGAACUAUCGAAAUCAGGUGAAGUUUAGCAUGGGAAAGACUAAUUUUUUCCAUCAUGGAAAAGUUAGUUUUUAACCAUUAGAUCAAACCAAGAACACAUCCUUACCAUACUCCCUCAUCACUAGAUUUUGUAAUUUUAUAAUUUUAAAACCAUUUUUUAAAAAUAAAAAAUAUAUUUCGAAAUUAAAAUAAACAUUUAAAAAUAAAAAAUAAACUUAAUUUUGGAAAUUAAUUUUCCAAAAUUUUAAAAAAUAUAAAUAAACUUGUUUUCAAAAAAUUUAAUUAUGAUUUUCGAAGAUUUAAUUUUUGUAAUUUUCAAAAAUUAAUUUGCAUAUUGUAUUAGAAUUUUAUUACAUCGAAAAAAAUGUAAAGCCUUACCUGAAGGUGAAAUCGAGAAUUCUUCAAAGUUUCGGAAAAUCAUAAUUAAAUUUGAAAAUUACAAAAAUUAAAUCUUCGAAAAUCAUAAUUAAAUUUUUUGAAAACAAGUUUAUUUCAAAAAGUUUAUUUAUAUUUUUUAAAAUUUUGGAAAAUUAAUUUCCAUAUUUUUAAAUUUAUUUUUUAUUUUUAUAUGUUUAUUUUAAUUUCAAAAUAUAUUUUUUGUUUUUAAAAAAUGGUUUUAAAAUAAUAAAAUUACAAAAUCUAGUGAUGAGGGAGUAUGGUAAGGAUGUGUUCUUGGUUUGAUCUAAUGGUUAAAAACUAACUUUCCCAUGGUGGAAAAAAUUAGUCUUUCCCAUGCUAAACUUCACCUGGAAAUCAACCUAUUUAUCAUAUGAUCGCAUGAUUGUAGGAGAAAAUAAAACGUUUGAAGUUGCAGCUUGUAGCGGAAUCCACGUUAAUACGUCACGAUUUGGAAGCAGA
rnacentral:lncRNA from 1 species